rnacentral:rRNA from 1 species
UUUUGGACAAUGGGGGCAACCCUGAUCCAGCAAUGCCGCGUGCAGGAAGAAGGCCUUCGGGUUGUAAACUGCUUUUGUCAGGGAAGAAAUCCUGUGGGUUAACACCUCGUGGGGAUGACGGUACCUGAAGAAUAAGCACCGGCUAACUACGUGCCAGCAGCCGCGGUAAUACGUAGGGUGCGAGCGUUAAUCGGAAUUACUGGGCGUAAAGCGUGCGCAGGCGGUUUUGUAAGACAGAGGUGAAAUCCCCGGGCUCAACCUGGGAACUGCCUUUGUGACUGCAAGGCUGGAGUACGGCAGAGGGGGAUGGAAUUCCGCGUGUAGCAGUGAAAUGCGUAGAUAUGCGGAGGAACACCGAUGGCGAAGGCAAUCCCCUGGGCCUGUACUGACGCUCAUGCACGAA